rnacentral:rRNA from 1 species
GAGUUUGAUCGUGGCUCAGAUUGAACGCUGGCGGCAUGCCUUACACAUGCAAGUCGAACGGUAACAGGUUAAGCUGACGAGUGGCGAACGGGUGAGUAAUAUAUCGGAACGUGCCCAGUCGUGGGGGAUAACUGCUCGAAAGAGCAGCUAAUACCGCAUACGACCUGAGGGUGAAAGCGGGGGAUCGCAAGACCUCGCGCGAUUGGAGCGGCCGAUAUCAGAUUAGGUAGUUGGUGGGGCAAAGGCCCACCAAGCCAACGAUCUGUAGCUGGUCUGAGAGGACGACCAGCCACACUGGAACUGAGACACGGUCCAGACUCCUACGGGAGGCAGCAGUGGGGAAUUGUUCACAAUGGGCGCAAGCCUGAUGACGCAACGCCGCGUGGGGGAUGAAGGUCUUCGGAUUGUAAACCCCUGUCGAACGGGACGAAGACUCGGGAGCUAAUCAUCUCGAGAGUGACGGUACCGUUAAAGGAAGCCACGGCUAACUCUGUGCCAGCAGCCGCU